AUCUUUGUCCGUCUAUUAUUAUUUCAUUUGUGCUUGUAAUGUUGAAGAGAGUGGUCAAAUGCGCUUAUUAGUUUGAUGUGGAUUAAUCUGUAUAUACAUAUUUUUGUCAAAUAUAACACUAAAGGUGCAAACUAGCAUGCGGCUCGCCUGAUGGUAAGUGACUACCGCCGCCCAUGAUCACCCACAACACCAGCGGCAUUGCAGGUGUGCUGCCGGCUUUUUAAGAAGGAAUAUACUCUUUUCUUGAAGGUUAUGUUAUCGUAUCGGUUCGGAAAUACUGCUGCUGGAAGUUGAUUCCAAAGAAUGGUUGUGCGUGGAAGAAAGUGCCUUGAAAAACGCACGGUGGAAGAUCGCCACCCGUCCAGAUGAUUGGGAUGAAACUUUAGUUUGUGGCAGGUGUAAAACGGUGGUGAAAAUCAGCAGCAGGUAUCAAUCCGAACAAUUCCUCAGAACACUCCCCAUGAUAAAUUCGGUAGAAGAUGCACAGAUAUGCAACAUCUCUGCGCAAUUUCAGUGGGUCAAGUCGGACAGUAAGGCGUUGACUAUCAAUAAUUCGAGCUGCCCGACUUUGGCGAGUUUGGCGUGAAGAUACAUAUAUACAUAUUAUCAUGUUUACUGCUUAUUAAUUAAAUAUUUAUUCUUUAUUGUACACAAAAAUAUAUUUUAUCAAAAUAAUAAUCAAAAUAAUAAUAAUAAUUAAUAAUAGUGCACAUUACAUAAAUUACGUCGUAUAUUCUCUAUUAGUAAUAGAUAAUAUAAUAAUAUAAUAAUAUCAAUAAUCUAUAUCAUGUGGAGAGAGGAAAGGGAUUGUUAGUAAUGGAGACUGAGAAUGCCAUUGCUAGCAAUAUACCCAACCAGGUCGACCUCCUCGCGGUUUCCCCUGGAAACUCAUGGUUACUUCGUGAUGAAUUUAUCAUGAUGGGCUAACUGACCUGUUUUCAUUCUCAUCUAUCACCCUUCACUGGUGCUCCGCCAGCGUAUCCCGUUAGCGCAGGCGGAGUUACCAUACCAUUUUCACCCAUCAAAAAAAAAUCAUGUGGACGAAGCUGCGAGUAAAUGCUAGUAUAAUAUAAAACAAACAGGCAAAUGCCUAUGUGAAUAUUUCGAUAAAAUAGCUCAACGCCGAUGAAUAUCUGGAUGCCGUUUUAAUUAUUAAAUUUAAUAAAAAUUAUAAUAAAUACCUUAAGUUAUAGACGA